AGAGUUUGAUCCUGGCUCAGGACGAACGCUGGCGGCGUGCCUAAUACAUGCAAGUAGAACGCUGAAGAGAGGAGCUUGCUCUUCUUGGAUGAGUUGCGAACGGGUGAGUAACGCGUAGGUAACCUGCCUUGUAGCGGGGGAUAACUAUUGGAAACGAUAGCUAAUACCGCAUAACAAUGGAUGACACAUGUCAUUUAUUUGAAAGGGGCAAUUGUUCCACUACAAGAUGGACCUGCGUUGUAUUAGCUAGUAGGUGAGGUAAUGGCUCACCUAGGCGACGAUACAUAGCCGACCUGAGAGGGUGAUCGGCCACACUGGGACUGAGACACGGCCCAGACUCCUACGGGAGGCAGCAGUAGGGAAUCUUCGGCAAUGGGGGCAACCCUGACCGAGCAACGCCGCGUGAGUGAAGAAGGUUUUCGGAUCGUAAAGCUCUGUUGUAAGUCAAGAACGGGUGUGAGAGUGGAAAGUUCACACUGUGACGGUAGCUUACCAGAAAGGGACGGCUAACUACGUGCCAGCAGCCGCGGUAAUACGUAGGUCCCGAGCGUUGUCCGGAUUUAUUGGGCGUAAAGCGAGCGCAGGCGGUUUGAUAAGUCUGAAGUUAAAGGCUGUGGCUCAACCAUAGUUCGCUUUGGAAACUGUCAAACUUGAGUGCAGAAGGGGAGAGUGGAAUUCCAUGUGUAGCGGUGAAAUGCGUAGAUAUAUGGAGGAACACCGGUGGCGAAAGCGGCUCUCUGGUCUGUAACUGACGCUGAGGCUCGAAAGCGUGGGGAGCGAACAGGAUUAGAUACCCUGGUAGUCCACGCCGUAAACGAUGAGUGCUAGGUGUUGGAUCCUUUCCGGGAUUCAGUGCCGCAGCUAACGCAUUAAGCACUCCGCCUGGGGAGUACGACCGCAAGGUUGAAACUCAAAGGAAUUGACGGGGGCCCGCACAAGCGGUGGAGCAUGUGGUUUAAUUCGAAGCAACGCGAAGAACCUUACCAGGUCUUGACAUCCCGAUGCUAUUUCUAGAGAUAGAAAGUUACUUCGGUACAUCGGUGACAGGUGGUGCAUGGUUGUCGUCAGCUCGUGUCGUGAGAUGUUGGGUUAAGUCCCGCAACGAGCGCAACCCCUAUUGUUAGUUGCCAUCAUUCAGUUGGGCACUCUAGCGAGACUGCCGGUAAUAAACCGGAGGAAGGUGGGGAUGACGUCAAAUCAUCAUGCCCCUUAUGACCUGGGCUACACACGUGCUACAAUGGUUGGUACAACGAGUUGCGAGUCGGUGACGGCGAGCUAAUCUCUUAAAGCCAAUCUCAGCUCGGAUUGUAGGCUGCAACUCGCCUACAUGAAGUCGGAAUCGCUAGUAAUCGCGGAUCAGCACGCCGCGGUGAAUACGUUCCCGGGCCUUGUACACACCGCCCGUCACACCACGAGAGUUUGUAACACCCGAAGUCGGUGAGGUAACCUUUUGGAGCCAGCCGCCUAAGGUGGGACAGAUGAUUGGGGUGAAGUCGUAACAAGGUA
rnacentral:rRNA from 1 species